rnacentral:rRNA from 1 species
AGCCGAUGCUUAUUCUUCAGGUACACGUCAUUCGAUUCCUCCCUGAAAAAAGAGGUUUACAACCCAUAGGCCGUCAUCCCUCACGCGAGAUUGCUCCGUCAGGCUUUCGCCCAUUGCGGAAAAUUCCCCA